CCUACGGGCGGCAGCAGUGAGGAAUAUUGGUCAAUGGGCGCAAGCCUGAACCAGCCAAGUCGCGUGCGGGAUGAAGGCUCUAUGGGUUGUAAACCGCUUUUAUAAGGGAGUAAACUCCGGGACGUGUCCCGGUUUGUAUGUAUCUUAUGAAUAAGGAUCGGCUAACUCCGUGCCAGCAGCCGCGGUAAUACGGAGGAUCAGAGCGUUAUCCGGAUUUAUUGGGUUUAAAGGGUUCGUAGGCGGGAUGUUAAGUUAGGGGUGAAAGUCUGGGGCUCAACCCUGAAACUGCCGUUGAAACUGAGGGUCUUGAGUAUGUGUGAGGUAGGCGGAAUGCGUGGUGUAGCGGUGAAAUGCUUAGAUAUCACGCAGAACACCGAUUGCGAAGGCAGCUUGCCAAGCCAUAACUGACGCUGAUGCACGAAAGCGUGGGGAUCAAACAGGAUUAGAUACCCUGGUAGUC
rnacentral:rRNA from 1 species